AACUUUCUCAGAAUGUCGUUCAACCCCCUCCUCUUUUCAAACAUUUUCUCUUAUGCACCAAGCUAAAAAAAACAAAGUCAUCAACACUCUUUCCUUAAAGCAAGGGUCGGCCAUGGGGGAGAUAUUUUCAAGGAUUCAAUUUUCUAAAAAUAGUCACUCCCCUCAUGUAUAGAUAGGCCCCUUGCUGGUCACUCAAAUCAUCAUUCAUUCACUCACCUAUCUCUCCCAAUUUCCUCUUCAUCUGCCCAUCUUUUCUCUUCUCAUUUGAGAGAAAAGCCACGAGAGUUUUAGAAAGCAUUUCAAGAUUUCUUGGAGCAGCAACAUUCAGCAUCUUGAAGGACUUUUGGUUGGCAGAACAAAGGAAAAGGAAGGAAGGGACGCGCGGUAGUCAGACUUCGAAGAAACAUCAAAUUUGUCUUCUAAUUUCUUUCUCUUUAUUCCUUUUGAUUUAUUUUGAAUUUAUGAACAUGAUUGCUAGUUAUUUCGAUGCUCCAAAUUUAAUUAAAAUGACUUAAAUUGUGUUUAUGUUAGAUUGAUUGCAUUCUAUCCACUUAAAUUAUUAAAAUUAUGUUUUUGAUAUUAUAGGCCUCGAUUAAUAAUUCAUUCAGAUAAAAACAUGUUUAUGUUAUUCUUGCAUUAUAAUUGAGAGGAUGAAAUUGAAUUAAUUAUUUAAUCGAAAUGAAAUUAUAAUUAAUGGACCCAAUAUCUGAAUGGUACAUGUUUAAUAUUUUAUUGAGAAUUAUAUUAAAUGAGUGAUAGUAUUGACCAAUAUUAUUGCCAUGUAAAAGAUUGAUGUGAUUAAAAUUGUUUUGGUAUAGUACUAUACUGUUACUUCAUUAUAUCUAAUGCUUGCUUAUGAAAUUUAUUAAAUUGAUUUAACAUAGACAUAUGCUAGAAAGGUUUAAUAAGUUCAAUAAGUAUGACUACAUAGGCUAAUGAAUAACCGA
rnacentral:lncRNA from 1 species